rnacentral:rRNA from 1 species
UACACGACCGUACCGCAAACCGACACUGGUGCGCGAGAUGAGUAUUCUAAGGCGCUUGAGAGAACUCAGGAGAAGGAACUCGGCAAAUUGACACCGUAACUUCGGAAGAAGGUGUGCCUUUAGUAGGUGAACCUGUACAAGGGGAGCCCAAUGAGGUUGCAAAAAAUCGGUGGCUGCGACUGUUUAAUAAAAACACAGCACUCUGCAAACACGAAAGUGGACGUAUAGGGUGUGACGCCUGCCCGGUGCUGGAAGAUUAAAUGAUGGGGUGCAAGCUCUUGAUUGAAGUCCCAGUAAACGGCGGCCGUAACUAUAACGGUCCUAAGGUAGCGAAAUUCCUUGUCGGGGUAAGUUCCGACCUGCACGAAUGGCGUAACGAUGGCCACACUGUCUCCUCCUGAGACUCAGCGAAGUUGAAAUGUUUGUGAUGAUGCAAUCUCCCCGCGGAAAGACGGAAAGACCCCAUGAACCUUUACUGUAGCUUUGUAUUGGACUUUGAACAGAUCUGUGUAGGAUAGGUGGGAGGCUUUGAAGUGUGGUCGCUAGAUCGCAUGGAGCCAACGUUGAAAUACCACCCUGGUGUGUUUGAGGUUCUAACCUAGGCCCGUAAUCCGGGUCGGGGACAGUGCAUGGUAGGCAGUUUGACUGGGGCGGUCUCCUCCCAAAGCGUAACGGAGGAGUUCGAAGGUACGCUAGGUACGGUCGGACAUCGUGCUAAUAGUGCAAUGGCAUAAGCGUGCUUAACUGCGAGACUGACAAGUCGAGCAGAUGCGAAAGCAGGACAUAGUGAUCCGGUGGUUCUGUAUGGAAGGGCCAUCGCUCAACGGAUAAAAGGUACUCUGGGGAUAACAGGCUGAUACCGCCCAAGAGUUCAUAUCGACGGCGGUGUUUGGCACCUCGAUGUCGGCUCAUCUCAUCCUGGGGCUGUAGCCGGUCCCAAGGGUAUGGCUGUUCGCCAUUUAAAGAGGUACGUGAGCUGGGUUUAAAACGUCGUGAGACAGUUUGGUCCCUAUCUUCCGUGGGCGCUGCAGAUUUGAGGAAGCCUGCUCCUAGUACGAGAGGACCGGAGUGGACACACCUCUGGUGUAUCGGUUGUCACGCCAGUGGCAUUGCCGAGUAGCUAUGUGUGGAAGAGAUAACCGCUGAAAGCAUCUAAGCGGGAAACUCGUUUCAAGAUGAGAUCUGCCGGGGCCUUGAGCCCCCUAAAGAGUCGUUCAAGACCAGGACGUUGAUAGGCCGGGUGUGGAAGCGCAGUAAUGCGUUAAGCUAACCGAUACUAAUUGCUCGUGCGGCUUGACCU